rnacentral:rRNA from 1 species
UACGUAGGGUGCGAGCGUUAAUCGGAAUUACUGGGCGUAAAGCGUGCGCAGGCGGUUUUGCAAGCCGGAUGUGAAAUCCCCGGGCUCAACCUGGGAAUGGCAUUCGGGACUGCAAGGCUGGAGUGCGGCAGAGGAGACUGGAAUUCCUGGUGUAGCAGUGAAAUGCGUAGAUAUCGGGAGGAACACCGGUGGCGAAGGCGGUUCUCUGGGCCUUACCUGACGCUGAGGAGCGAAAGCGUGGGGAGCGAACAGG